UCAAGCUACGUAGGGCUUAUGGUGGAUGACUAGGUGUCAGAUGGCGAUGAAGGACGCGGUAAGCGGCGAUACGCUUCGGGGAGGCGCAAACAGCCUUUGAUCCGGAGAUUUCCGAAUGGGGCAACCCCGUACGGGUCAUACCGUACGACCUUGCACUGAAUUCAUAGGUGCUUGGGGCGAUACCCGGGGAAGUGAAACAUCUCAGUACCCGGAGGAAGAGAAAACGAAGAUAUUCCCCCAGUAGCGGCGAGCGAAAAGGGAAUAGCCCAAACUCAAUCAAAUUAAGUGUGCAGGCGUUUUUGAUUGGGGGUUGCGGGGCAUUAUUGGCCGUCACUGCAUUGACGGCGCUCUGUUACAAAGUUGUUGUAUAACCGAACACUCUGGAAAGUGUGACCAUAGCGGGUGAUAGUCCCGUAGGUAAAAUACAACGAUCAGAGCCGAUAGUGUUCCCAAGUACCACUCGACACGAGAAACCGAGUGGGAAUUCGGCCAGACCACUGGCCAAGGCUAAAUACAAGCUGACAACCGAUAGUGCACUAGUACCGUGAGGGAAAGUUGAAAACAACCCAGGAAUGGGAGUGAAAUAGGAGCUGAAACCAUAAGCUUGCAAGCUGUUCGAGGCCUAUGACCCUUAAAGGGUAAUGGCUGAGAGCGUGCCUUUUGCAUAAUGAUCCGGCGAGUCAAUCUCUGAUGCAAGGUUAAGAACAAUAUGUUCGGAGCCGUAGCGAAAGCGAGUCCUAAUAGGGCGACAAAGUAUCAUGGAUUGGACCCGAAGCUGAGUGAUCUACCCAUGACCAGGGUGAAGCCUGAGUAAAAUCAGGUGGAGGUCCGAACUGGUGAUCGUUGAAAAGGUCUCAGAUGAGUUGUGGGUCGGAGUGAAAGGCUAAUCAAACUCAGUAAUAGCUGGUUCUCCUCGAAAUGUCUUUAGGGACAGCCUCGUAUAAAUAGUUGAUGGGGGUAGAGUACUCGAUGGGCUAGGGGCCUCACCAGGCUACCGAACCCAACGAAACUCCGAAUACCGUCAACCUUACUACGGGAGUGAGAACACCAGGGCUAAGCUUGGUGCUCAAAAGGGAAAAAGCCCAGACCGCCAGAUAAGGUCCCUAAUAUAUGCUAAGUGGUAAAGGAAGUGAAACCGCGUUAACAACCGGGAUGUUGGCUUAGAGGCAGCCAUCAUUUAAAGAGUGCGUAACAGCUCACCGGUCGAUUGUGGUUUUGCGCCGACAAUGAUCGGGGCUCAAGCAUAUAACCGAAUCUGCGGAUUGUACCUCUUCGGAGGUGUAGUGGUAGAGGAGUGUUCCAAACUAGGUUGAAGGCGUACCGUAAGGAGCGCUGGACGACUUGGAAGUAAUUAUGCCGGAAUGAGUAGCGAAAAAAUACGUGGAAAACGUAUUCGCCGUAAGUCUAAGGUUUCCUGGGGAAGGUUAAUCCACCCAGGGUUAGUCGGUCCUAAGUCGAGGUCGAAAGACGUAGAUGAUGGAUAAUCCGUUAAUAUUCGGAUACCGCCUAUUUCGCGUUAACAACGUAUGAGGGACGCAGGAGGCUAAGUGAGCGGGGUGUUGGAUGUCCCCGUUGGCGCAUGUAGCUCUACCGCAAGGUAGGCGAGGUGCGACGAAAGGUGAGGCUACGGCCGAUCCGAAAUUGCUGACGUCAGGCUGCCGAGAAAAUCUCAUCACGUGAGUGGAGUAGGCGACCGUACCGCAAACCGACACAGGUAGACGAGGAUCAGUGUCCUCAGGCGCUCGAGAGAACUGUUGUUAAGGAACUCUGCAAUCUAGCCCCGUAACUUCGGGAUAAGGGGUGCCUCAUUUUGUGGCGGAGCAUACGCUCCGUUGCAUCGUGGGGUCGCAGUGAAAUGGGCACCGCGACUGUUUAGCAAAAACUCAUCUCUCUGCCAAGUCGCAUCAUAAGACGACGUAUAGGGAGUGACACCUGCCCGGUACUGGAAGGUUAAAGAGAGGGGUUAUCCGUAAGGAGAAGCUCCGAACCGAAGCCCCAGUAAACGGCGGCCGUAACUAUAACGGUCCUAAGGUAGCGAAAUUCCUUGUCGGGUAAGUUCCGACCUGCACGAAUGGUGUAACGAUGGUGCCGCUGUCUCAACAACAGGCUCGGCGAAAUUGUAGCGGCGGUGAAGAUGCCGUCUACCCGCAGCUAGACGAAAAGACCCCGGA
rnacentral:rRNA from 1 species